rnacentral:rRNA from 1 species
AUUGAACGCUGGCGGCAGGCCUAACACAUGCAAGUCGAGCGGAUGAAGGGAGCUUGCUCCUGGAUUCAGCGGCGGACGGGUGAGUAAUGCCUAGGAAUCUGCCUGGUAGUGGGGGAUAACGUCCGGAAACGGGCGCUAAUACCGCAUACGUCCUGAGGGAGAAAGUGGGGGAUCUUCGGACCUCACGCUAUCAGAUGAGCCUAGGUCGGAUUAGCUAGUUGGUGAGGUAAAGGCCUACCAAGGCGACGAUCCGUAACUGGUCUGAGAGGAUGAUCAGUCACACUGGAACUGAGACACGGUCCAGACUCCUACGGGAGGCAGCAGUGGGGAAUAUUGGACAAUGGGCGAAAGCCUGAUCCAGCCAUGCCGCGUGUGUGAAGAAGGUCUUCGGAUUGUAAAGCACUUUAAGUUGGGAGGAAGAGCAGUAAGUUAAUACCUUGCUGUUUUGACGUUACCAACAGAAUAAGCACCGGCUAACUUCGUG